rnacentral:lncRNA from 1 species
CAACAUCACCACAUUUGAGAUCUCCAACCCCCUCUUCCUUUCUAUUUAUAAAAACUUUAAAAGGGUGGUUGUCGAUGCAUAUGUCUAUAAUAAAUAUUGUAGAUCUCGUUGAGUUGAUCUUGAUAUAGGUCAGCGUUGGAAGGCAAACCACUUCGCUGACAUAAAUUGAUGGUUUCCCAAGGACAAGCUUAGAGUCCUAAAAUAAGCAC